UCAAAUAUUUAUUUCCCCAGUUAAUAUAGCAGAAAACAUACAUUUUCAAAGCCAAACAAGUAACGAACAGAGGACCGACAGGCUAAGGCCUUCAAUUUAAAGUCAUGCACUGCACAUAAUUAUAAAUCACAGAUUGUCUCAGUCGUUGGUCGGUUGCGCUUGUCCACACUCAAAUAACUUGACGCCAAGUUGAUACGUUUCACGCAAGAUUUAAUGUUAUCAUCAAGUGCAUGUGGCCGAGGAGGGUUACCACUGCCGAUAUAUAUCGCCGCGACAGUGAACGUAGAAUUGCUGGCUCAUCAAUAGCAGAGGGUAUUCGCCCAAGCACUCUCAUACACACAGACUAUCUUUGCAACAGUACCAAAGGUCGGUGAAUGCGCUGAUGCAGCGAAGGAGCGAAAGGAACAGGGUGGAGCUGGAUGCGAUGAUGUGUAUCACAAGUGCAUCUAAUGUUUGUGGCCAUGUUGACUUAAGGUCGUGCAGCUGGAAAAAAGCAACAGCAACAACAAUAGCUACAGGAACAAUUGAUGACGCGGCCAGCGCUAACUCAGUCAAACAGGCCCACAUAUUGCCAGCACUGUCAAUACUGACAUACUUUAUUUGGCUCUUAGUAGUAGUGCGGAAUUCAAUUAGCAUAUGCUUUAUGCAUGAGACACGUAAAUUCGCACAUAUUCAGAUGUCCGGCCCGUUCAACCAAUCUCCACCCGUACACUUAACACACGUGGGGAGCAUAGACCAUGCCAAGCUCUUCCUUACAAGCACACGAACACAAAACACACAGUUGGGGUUGUGCGUGCCAGUUGCUUGUGACUGCACCAAGGGGUGUGCGCGUAAUCUUCCUCGUACUUGGCAGUGCAAAUAAAAAAUUCUCAUUGCGUGUAGGUUUUCCUUCUUGCCAUCUGUGUCCCAGCUGAAUGGAGGUCGUGGCAACUUUGUUGACUGGCAGUUUGAAACUCACCGAAAUGUCUUCUGCCAGGGAUUCCUUUUUUGUGGAUAAAACAAGAAUCAAAUUGUACGAAAAGUAUAGGAGAAUAAUUUUGCUAACACAAAUAUGAUUUUUAACAGUUUGUCAGCUUGAUUUUAAUUUAAUUUUGAAUUUAAUUAAACUAAUUUUAUAUAAAUAA